AAAAGCAAGGUUUAUGAAGCUUGUUAAACUGCAGAUUUUGAUUCAGUGGAUCUGGGGUAGAACCUGAUAUUCUGUACUUUUAAUAAGUUUCCAGGUGAUGCCCAA
rnacentral:miRNA from 1 species